rnacentral:rRNA from 1 species
UUGAAGAGUUUGAUCAUGGCUCAGAUUGAACGCUGGCGGCAGGCCUAACACAUGCAAGUCGAACGGUAACAGGAAGCAGCUUGCUGCUUUGCUGACGAGUGGCGGACGGGUGAGUAAUGUCUGGGAAACUGCCUGAUGGAGGGGGGAUAACUACUGGAAACGGUAGCUAAUACCGCAUAACGUCGCAAGACCAAAGAGGGGGGACCUUAGGGCCUCUUGCCAUCGGAUGUGCCCAGAUGGGAUUAGCUAGUAGGUGGGGUAACGGCUCACCUAGGCGACGAUCCCUAGCUGGUCUGAGAGGAUGACCAGCCACACUGGAACUGAGACACGGUCCAGACUCCUACGGGAGGCAGCAGUGGGGAAUAUUGCACAAUGGGCGCAAGCCUGAUGCAGCCAUGCCGCGUGUAUGAAGAAGGCCUUCGGGUUGUAAAGUACUUUCAGCGGGGAGGAAGGGAGUAAAGUUAAUACCUUUGCUCAUUGACGUUACCCGCAGAAGAAGCACCGGCUAACUCCGUGCCAGCAGCCGCGGUAAUACGGAGGGUGCAAGCGUUAAUCGGAAUUACUGGGCGUAAAGCGCACGCAGGCGGUUUGUUAAGUCAGAUGUGAAAUCCCCGGGCUCAACCCGGGAACUGCAUCUGAUACUGGCAAGCUUGAGUCUCGUAGAGGGGGGGGUAGAAUUCCGGUGUAGCGGUGAAAUGCGUAGAGAUCUGGAGGAAUACCGGUGGCGAAGGCGGCCCCCCGGACGAAGACUGACGCUCAGGUGCGAAAGCGUGGGGAGCAAACAGGAUUAGAUACCCCGGUAGUCCACGCCGUAAACGAUGUCGACUUGGAGGUUGUGCCCUUGAGGCGUGGCUUCCGGAGCUAACGCGUUAAGUCGACCGCCCGGGGAGUACGGCCGCAAGGUUAAAACUCAAAUGAAUUGACGGGGGGCCCGCACAAGCGGUGGAGCAUGUGGUUUAAUUCGAUGCAACGCGAAGAACCUUACCCGGGUCUUGACAUCCACGGAAGUUUUCAGAGAUGAGAAUGUGCCUUCGGGAACCGUGAGACAGGUGCUGCAUGGCUGUCGUCAGCUCGUGUUGUGAAAUGUUGGGUUAAGUCCCGCAACGAGCGCAACCCUUAUCCUUUGUUGCCAGCGGUCCGGCCGGGAACUCAAAGGAGACUGCCAGUGAUAAACUGGAGGAAGGUGGGGAUGACGUCAAGUCAUCAUGGCCCUUACGACCAGUGGCUACACACGUGCUACAAUGGCGCAUACAAAGAGAAGCGACCUCGCGAGAGCAAGCGGACCUCAUAAAGUGCGUCGUAGUCCGGAUUGGAGUCUGCAACUCGACUCCAUGAAGUCGGAAUCGCUAGUAAUCGUGGAUCAGAAUGCCACGGUGAAUACGUUCCCGGGCCUUGUACACACCGCCCGUCACACCAUGGGAGUGGGUUGCAAAAGAAGUAGGUAGCUUAACCUUCGGGAGGGCGCUUACCACUUUGUGAUUCAUGACUGGGGUGAAGUCGUAACAAGGUAACCGUAGGGGAACCUGCGGUUGGAUCACCUCCUU